UCGCCUGUUUAUCAAAAACAUGUCCUCUUGGGUNAAUAAUUUGAGGUCUGACCUGCCCACUGAGAGUAAAUCUUAAAGGGCCGCGGUAUUUUGACCGUGCAAAGGUAGCAUAAUCAUUAGUCUUUUAAUUGAAGGCUAGAAUGAAUGGUUGGACGAGGUAUUGACUGUCUCUGUGCAAAUGAGGUUAGAAUUUAACUUUUGAGUGAAAAGGCUCAAAUUUUUUUAAAGGACGAGAAGACCCUAUAGAGCUUUAUAUUAGGUCUUUUAUAAUUUGUUUAGUCGUUUUUUUAUUAUGGAUAAUUUAAUAUUUUGUUGGGGUGACAGGAAGAUAUAAUAAACUCUUUUUAUUGUUAAACAUUUAUGUAUGAAUUAUUGAUCCAUUAUUAAUGAUUAAAAGUCUAAGUUACCUUAGGGAUAACAGCGUAAUCUUUUUUGAGAGUUCUUAUCGACAAAAAGGUUUGCGACCUCGAUGUUGGAUUAAGGGUAAUUUUGGGUGUAGAUGUUCAAAGUUUAGGUCUGUUCGACCUUUAAAUCCUUACAUGAUCUGAGUUCAAACCGGAGA
rnacentral:rRNA from 1 species